rnacentral:tRNA from 1 species
AGAAGAUUAGUUUAAUAAAAACUUUUGAUUUCGACUCAAAAAAUUUUGGCUCCAUCCAAGAUCUCCCU